UACGUAGGGGGCAAGCGUUGUCCGGAAUCAUUGGGCGUAAAGAGCGUGUAGGCGGCCCGGUAAGUCCGCUGUGAAAGUCCAGGGCUCAACCCUGGGAUGCCGGUGGAUACUGUCGGGCUCGAGUCCGGAAGAGGAGUGUGGAAUUCCUGGUGUAGCGGUGAAAUGCGCAGAUAUCAGGAGGAACACCGGUGGCGAAGGCGGCUCUCUGGACGGUGACUGACGCUGAGACGCGAAAGCGUGGGGAGCAAACAGG
rnacentral:rRNA from 1 species